rnacentral:rRNA from 1 species
AUUGAACGCUAGCGGGAUGCCUUACACAUGCAAGUCGAACGGAGUGGCGAACGGGUGAGUAAUGUAUCUGAACGUGCCCAGUAGCGGGGGAUAACUACCCGAAAGCGUAGCUAAUACCGCCUACUAUUGGAGCGGCCGAUAUGGGAUUAGCUAGUUGGUGGGGUAACGGCUCACCAAGGCGACGAUCCCUAGCUGGUUUGAGAGGACGACCAGCCACACUGGGACUGAGACACGGCCCAGACUCCUACGGGAGGCAGCAGUGGGGAAUUUUGGACAAUGGGGGAAACCCUGAUCCAGCCAUCCCGCGUGUGUGAUGAAGGCCUUCGGGUUGUAAAGCACUUUCGGCAGGAAAGCGGUACCUGCAGAAGAAGCACCGGCUAACUACGUGCCAGCAGCCGCGGUAAUAC